rnacentral:rRNA from 1 species
GAGUUUGAUCGUGGCUCAGAUUGAACGCUGGCGGCAUGCCUUACACAUGCAAGUCGAACGGCAGCACGGGAGCUUGCUCCUGGUGGGCGAGUGGCGAACGGGUGAGUAAUGCAUCGGAACGUAUCCUGGAGUGGGGGAUAACGUAGCGAAAGUUACGCUAAUACCGCAUAUUCUGUGAGCAGGAAAGCGGGGGACCUUCGGGCCUCGCGCUCUUGGAGCGGCCGAUCGUC